rnacentral:rRNA from 1 species
UCUCCUACGGGGGGCAGCAGUGGGGAAUCUUCCGCAAUGGGCGAAAGCCUGACGGAGCAAUGCCGCGUGAGUGAAGAAGGCCUUCGGGUUGUAAAACUCUGUCCUUAUCGAAGAGAGGUGGGUAUGUGAAUAAUGUACUCAUACGACGGUAGCUAAGGAGCAAGCCACGGCUAACUACGUGCCAGCAGCCGCGGUAAUACGUAGGUGGCAAGCGUUGUCCGGAAUUACUGGGUGUAAAGGGAGCGCAGGCGGGCAG